UACGUAGGGAGCAAGCGUUGUUCGGAUUUACUGGGCGUAAAGGGUGCGUAGGUGGCGAGGUUAGUCAGGUGUGAAAUCUCGGGGCUCAACCCCGAAACUGCACUUGAUACUGCCUUGCUAGAGUACUGGAGAGGAGAUUGGAAUUUACGGUGUAGCAGUGAAAUGCGUAGAUAUCGUAAGGAAGACCAGUGGCGAAGGCGAAUCUCUGGACAGUUACUGACACUGAGGCACGAAGGCCAGGGGGAGCAAACGGG
rnacentral:rRNA from 1 species